rnacentral:SRP_RNA from 1 species
GCCGGGCGCGGUGGCGCGCGCCUGUAGUCCCAGCUACUCGGGAGGCUGAGGCUGGAGGAUCGCUUGAGCCCAGGAGUUCUGGGCUGUAGUGCGCUAUGCCGAUCGGGUGUCCGCACUAAGUUCGGCAUCAAUAUGGUGACCUCCCGGGAGCGGGGGCCACCAGGUUGCCUAAGGAGGGGUGAACCGGCCCAGGUCGGAGACGGAGCAGGUCAAAAAAUUGCACAGGAAUAGUAAACACCAAAUUCAGGAGAGUCUUUACCUGGGGGGUGGGGGGCGGUACACUUCAGAGGACCUUCAGCUUAAUUAGCAAUGUUUUCUU